rnacentral:rRNA from 1 species
GGGAAUCUACCUAGUUCUACGGAACAACAGUUGGAAACGACUGCUAAUACCGUAUACGCCCUACGGGGGAAAGAUUUAUCGGAAUUAGAUGAGCCCGCGUAAGAUUAGCUAGUUGGUGGGGUAAUGGCCUACCAAGGCGACGAUCUUUAGCUGGUCUGAGAGGAUGAUCAGCCACACUGGGACUGAGACACGGCCCAGACUCCUACGGGAGGCAGCAGUGGGGAAUAUUGGACAAUGGGCGCAAGCCUGAUCCAGCCAUGCCGCGUGAGUGAUGAAGGCCUUAGGGUUGUAAAGCUCUUUCAGUGGGGAAGAUAAUGACGGUACCCACAGAAGAAGCCCCGGCUAACUUCGUGCCAGCAGCCGCGGUAAUACGAAGGGGGCUAGCGUUGUUCGGAUUUACUGGGCGUAAAGCGCACGUAGGCGGUUUGUUAAGUCAGGGGUGAAAUCCCGGAGCUCAACUCCGGAACUGCCUUUGAUACUGGCAAGCUAGAGUCCGGAAGAGGUAAGUGGAACUCCUAGU